AUGCACACUUGCAAUCAGAGCCCAUGUUUUGUUCAACAUAGGGCAUAUUUCUUGGUCCUAACUUUUCCUUCUUUUCUUGUUCUAGCAGAGGAGCCGUGCACGUGUUCUCGCCAUUCUUUCCUGUGCAUGACUGGCCUCUCUGUUCAGAAGCGGAUUCCUGGUGCUCAUCACUCCCCCUCACCCGAAGGAUGGCCGUCUUCCAUGUCACACAGCAGAUGUGAACCGUGGGGACAAGGGUCACGCCAGGUCACACUCACUGAUGAAUCAUCAAUGGAUUUCAUUGAAGCUGUGAUAUUCACCUUUUUAGAAUUAGGAAAGGAAUACACGCACAUUCUAAGAAGUUUCAACAUCCCACCGGGAGCAGAUGAGAGACUGGAAAGUCGUGAGCCCCGUGAACAGUUUGGUGCAUAUCUCCCUGGCGUGGUUGCUCUCAUUCUGUCUCCUUCUGUCUGUCUCUCUCUCACACGCACAUUCAUUUUCAUAGAUGUUUGUCUCCCUGUUGAUGUCACAUAUCCGUGUUCUGGUGGAUGGGCCGCACAGGUCCCAUUGCCUCUCCAUGAACCUGAGUUGUGUUCCCAGCUCCCAGCUAUUGCGACCAUUGCUGUCAUGACUACUCUUGAAAAGAGAUCUUGGAAACCUUGGGCAAGACCUCCUGUGGGCCACACUCCUGGCAUUGGCACUGCCAGCAAAGGUGGGGUCCUGGGGAACUUGGAAGGGUCCUGCAGGCUAUUCUCCCAGAGAGCAGUGUCCUUUCCCCCUGCUCUCCAGGGAUCUGCAGGGGCCUCUGCUGCCCCAAAUUCUCACCAGGGCUGGUCGCAACCAAACCAGAAACCAGCCAGUCUGGUGGUGACCAAUGCCGUCUCCACGGUGUUUCCGUUUGCACGCGCCCUCAUGGGGGAGUUCGAGCAUCUCUGACAUAUGCUGUCCCUAUGUAUCGCCUCUCGGGGGAAUUGCGUGUGUUUGCUCUCUGUCCCUUGAAAACAACGACUUUCAGGAGUUUUUUGGUCCAGAGGGAGGUUGCACCUUUCUCUCACCUUGGUUGAGGAGGAAUGCUUUCGAGUUUGUGGUUUGUCUUUCCAGCUGUCUCCCUUUUUCUUGUUUUUGUUUUGGCCAUGGAAGAACCAGGCACUUCUGUGUGGCUUGUGGCUCUGGUGUCCCCCUUAGAAGAGCGGUCUGUAGCCUGACAUAAUAAAAGGGCUUCAUUUGAAGCA
rnacentral:lncRNA from 1 species